GACUCCACUUGCAAAUCUGUCAAGUUUGUUGUAUUCAGGAUUCUGGAAAACCUGAGUUAAAAGAUAGUGCCCCUGAAGGGUGAGCGAGAGAUGACAAUCUGGAGAAGAAUCAGUGCAGUGGAGCUUGCAGGAAAGACUAAGGGCAAGAAAUUCAGGAGCAGUUAGAAUCAAGGCCAUCAGCUCUUUGAUGCAGAGGAGUUCUUGUCUGUAUACACUCAGAUCCCAUCACCUUGGAUUUUUAGAGUGGAAAUGAAUGGCUACAGCUUGACGGUGCCUCCUGUUUCAGCAGACCAGGGCUGGACUCAGGCCUAUGCACCUGCAGAAGAGAGCAGCAUAAAUAUACUGUGUUGCCUAGUGGACAUCUCAGGAACCAAACUGAAGGAUCAGUAUGAGCACUCAGAAGAGCUUGUCUGUCUCUUUGGCCAUCAGUAACCACUGAAGAGACGUGCUUAUGGAGCUGCCGAGUCAGUCCUUUUGCUGAACUGUUGCACUUGAUUGUGUAUCGUCGACUCCCAGAAAGAAUGCUCUUUGUCCAGGGGCACGGGAUUAUUCCUGACAGAUGCCAUGCCAGUUGAUUCUUAUCCUGGAAUGUUCAUUAAG